rnacentral:rRNA from 1 species
GACGAACGCUGGCGGCGUGCUUAACACAUGCAAGUCGAACGGAAAGGGCCUGCUUUUGUGGGGUGCUCGAGUGGCGAACGGGUGAGUAACACGUGAGUAACCUGCCCUGUACUGGGGGAUAACUUCAGGAAACUGGGGCUAAUACCGGAUAGGAGCUCCUGCUGCAUGGGGGGGGUUGGAAAGUUUCGGCGGUUGGGGCUGGACUUGCGGCUUAUUAGCUUGUGGGUGGGGUAGUGGCUUACCAAGGCUUUGACGGGUAGCCGGCCUGGGAGGGUGACCGGCCACAUUGGGCCUGAGGUACGGCCCAGACUCCUACGGGAGGCAGCAGUGGGAAAUAUUGCCCAAUGGGCGGAAGCCUGAUGCAGCAACGCCGCGUGCGGGAUGCCGGCCUUCGGGUUAUAAACCGCUUUAGCCUGUGACGAAGCGUGAGUGACGGUACCGGGUAAAGAAGCACCGGCUAACUACGUG